rnacentral:rRNA from 1 species
CUCUUGGGUUGUAAACCCCUUUUCUCUGGGAAGAAAGUUGUGAAAGCAACCUGACGGUACCAGAGGAAUCAGCAUCGGCUAACUCCGUGCCAGCAGCCGCGGUAAGACGGAGGGUGCAAGCGUUAUCCGGAAUGACUGGGCGUAAAGCGUCCGCAGGUGGCAGUUCAAGUCUGCUGUCAAAGACCGGGGCUUAACUUCGGAAAGGCAGUGGAAACUGAACGGCUAGAGUAUGGUAGGGGCAGAGGGAAUUCCUGGUGUAGCGGUGAAAUGCGUAGAGAUCAGGAAGAACAUCGGUG